rnacentral:misc_RNA from 1 species
GCCACUUUAGACAGCUGACGGAUCACAGAGACUAUUACCUAGCGGUAAAGGUAAGGUGUGCGUACAGUCUAGCCCCGUUUCGUGGGACUACAGUGGGUACACAGAUUUUACAGCAAGACAGCUGAGUUGUGAGUUAGAGAAAACUGUCUAACUUAUCAGGGCCAAAGUGAAAAUACAAGGCGCUUCCCUAUCAUUUUUGGAUAGGAAAUAACAAGAUGAUGCACCAGCAGUAGCAGUGAAGACAACUAACUCUAUGUCUUUGAUACAGAAUAUCCACAGAAACAAUUAUUAUUAUU